ensembl:lncRNA
AAUCCCCACAUACUCACAAAAUAUAGGCCUAUUUUAUUUCAAACAGAGCUCAAAUACCACAGACUGACUCUUAGAACUCGUGCGCUUUAAAUGUGACCCCCAUCCACAGCACUAUGCUCCAGCUUGCACCUUAUAGGCAUGUGACUCCUGGAAUAAUAAUAUGAUGGGAAUUAAAGGUACCUGUGGACAUUCUGGAUGCGAGAAAAACCUUUGGAUUACUGCUUGGAAUCUCCCCUGACUAAAUCUGCUGGUUUGAAGGCUCAGCCCUUCAGACGACCUUCACAGACUGUAUUUAAGUGCACACCGACUGGUUAAGAGAAGGAGAACAUUGAACAAUCCCCUCAGCUCGGCUUAACUUGAACCAAAAGAGACCACCUUCCUCAUCCACAUUUCCUCUGGAUUCACUUUGGACACAUUAUUUGCAGGAACAUACAAUUCAGUGUUCGGUUUUGCACAGAGCAAAGCUGCAGUCGGACUGAGGUACUUACUUGAAUCAUUGUGACGUUAGCACUUCACUGCAAUGACAGUAUGCUUCUGUAGUAUUGUGUAUGUCCUGUGUGUAUGUUGUGGUCAUAACUAAACCAAAACAUGUUUGCAUGCUUGGUAGAGAGCAUCUGACUGGCCAUAGUGUCAAUGGCCCUGCACUUAUGAAUAAUGGGGGAAUAAUAGAUGACAUUUUAGUGGAGUUAUUGUAAAUCUCUCUUAAACAUAUCACAAUAGACCAAUGAGUCUUCAUGAAGAGUAAGAAGAAAUGGUUAUAACUUGUUUUCUAGAUGUUUGUUUAGUCAAAUUUAACAACUGAAAAAGACAGAAAAGACACUCUUUGCCUGUGAAAUGAAUGUUGUGUGUAGUUUUAACAGUACAAAUACAUAAAUGCAGGUGUUACAUUCUUAAUUUCUUUGAAAUGUUUUGAAUGUUUUAAUUUUUUUUAUCAAAAUGCUGUAAUUUCUGUGAUAACAUCUACCUCUUUCUGCAUCAUCAAAAACUGAAGCUUUAAUUCAACUCUGUCACAUACACAGUUGUAGCUUUGCAUGGCUCUAUAAGAUCACAUAUAAACGAUUUAUUAAUUUAUUUAAUUUUAAAUCAAUGUUCUGUACACUGAUCAAUGUCACCACAUCAGGGACCAAGUAGAAAACCCCACAUAUGCUCAUCGUACUUUUGGUAAUUUAUCUGAAGUGUGACCAUAAACAAUCAAGUUAGGAAUUUUCAAAGCAAUAUUGCAUCUAAAUGAUAGAAGAGAAAUUAUCCUAUACCACAUAUCAUUCAAAACUCAUAUAUAAAUAUAUAUUUCUCAGUCAGUUUCUUUCAUGUGGCAUGGAGGAUGUAGUUAUUUUGUGUAU